rnacentral:lncRNA from 1 species
CCAAACACACUUCGACUACACCACUCCACGAUUCAGGUACACACUCUGCACACUUUACACAUACACAUAUAUAUCUUGGAUUAUGCAGAAUAUUGUUUCUGACAUGAUAAAUUAAAAAUAUUAAAAUGUUUCUAAUCAUGAUUAAUCUCACUCUGUGAUAUUUCCUGAAAACUUGCAAUUAUUGUAAAAUCAUUUUAAAACCCUGUGUUACUUAAGUCAUUGUGGAAUGUGAGAUGGUAGAGUAUGAGUUUCUUAUUCUUGAUAUCAUUGUUGCUUGGAGAAUUUAUUUCAAAAUCUUCAAAAUUCUAGCUACCAUCCUCAGUGUUUUAUAUGCCUGAUAAACCUGAAAAUAUAAUAGUUGUAAAAGCUAUCUACUCUGUAUUCAGUUUGUUCAAAAUGAGUUAGACCCUUGUUGAGUGAUUUAUCAUGCUCCUAAGAUCAAGACAUUUAUUCAGAAAGAUUCACUCUUUUGAAGUAUUAUUGCAUUAGAGGCAUGAGCUAUGCAAAAAUAAAGAUAUUUUGAGGAAAUAAAAAGGAGCUAGUGCUCGAUAACCUCGCAGAAAAAAAAUGGACAAGUAUCCGGCAGUAGAAUUAGGGUACCUCGGUAUCCACUUAAACAAAAAAAAGAAGAAAAUGAUAGCCCAUGGUCUCUCUAAUAAGCAAUAUGCCAGCAAGAGUUGACAAGUUUUUAAUUUCCAAAGUCUUUGAUCUAAGAGUAUGACAUUCCCCUCCUCGGAUCCCAUUUUGAUCAGGCAAUAAAUGCAAGGUAAGAAUGCUUGAGAAUUUUUGCAAAUUAAAACAGCCUCAGUGAGAUAUACAAAAGAUAAAUGAGUGACCUGAGAGAACCUAUGAGGAUAAAAAGAUAUGCUAAAUUUCUUUUCAAAAAUAUGCAGAAACUCCAAGUGAUAGGACUGAGAAGAAAGGACCUCUACUCUUGAUCAUAUAUUUCCUUGACUAUAGUAUACAGUGAAUUUUUACAACACCCUGCAGAUAUGAAGAAAAUGUUUUACAAUGUUUUACCCCAGAUAUUUUUCUUAACCAUCCUUUUCUCGAGAAUGAGUAAAAGCCUAAGUAUGGGGGUAUUUGUUGACGGUUCUUAAGUAUCAGUUUUGUUGUUCAUCUCUUUCUGCAAGGGGUUAUCAGGAAAUAAUGAAGAAAGGCCCACA